UACUUUAUUAGUAUAAAAAAGUACAUUUAAUUUCCAAUUAAAAAGAUUUUCUUAAAUAAAGUAA
rnacentral:tRNA from 1 species